AGUCCCUUCUAUGUAUUGGGUAAGGGCUGUAACUUACAGAUACUGGAUUCCUGAUUCUCCUUCCAUGCUUGUGGAAGUCAGGACAAAUUGAUUUUGAGCUCCAUGGGAUUACCUGGUGGUGGGGCUGUGGAAAUGAGAUGUUUGCCUUUCUGCCUGCUCCAGCCUUCUGUAAUUCCAUUUCUUCUUGUGCAGAGUGAUUCUGAGGGAGUUCUGCAGUAAAUGAGUGAAGAAAUUGCUGGUGCAGGACUGCUGAAUUCCAGAGCAAUGACAAUGAGGAGGACAUUGCAUGGGAGGAAACCUUGGCAUCUUCCUACCUGAAUUUUUAGCAGAGAAGAGCCUCUUAAAGAGGUCAUCCUAUAAUUGUCUGCUUCCCAGUUCCUUUCACCUAUUGGAUUUCACAACUAUUGGAUGUGCUAAAAGCUAGGAGAGGCUCUCCUAACACCUUUUCAGCUUUUGCUGCGCCAGCAAACAGGGUAGUGACAAGAGCCAGCUUUCUUCACUAAUUAGAAAGAGGUUGAGAAGCCUCAGGUUGAGUGCACCAGUGCAUCUUUGCCCAGGACGCUUGUUUACAGGUGCAGUACUGUACCUUUUGGGUUGACCUGCCCUAAGAGUGAGUGUAAACCACGCUGCCUUGUUUUCAGCCUGGCAGUGCGCUCACUGGGCUAAUGAAGCAGGAGAAAGGGACCACUAAAGAGCACAUAGGGAAAGUCUACUCCUGACCAUUAAUAUCUGGCUUCCUGACAAUGCCAUUUUGCACGUAGCAGGUGGGACUAUCGAGUUUUUUAAAAUGUCUGAAAAAUGUAAGAAAAAGAGAGAGACAACAGAGCUUGUUUUGGAACACAAUGGAACGGCAAAUAUGUUUGUGCGUAUCUUCAAGGGUUUGCUAACGCUCUAUUGUACUCUCAUUUUUCUUGUAUUAUUCUAUCUCAUCUGUGCUGUUUGGGUGAUGGCAUGAGCUUGUGAGAGCAGAGGAUCACACAGCUUUUGGGAAGCAUCAUCAGAACCUCAUCCCUCCAAUAGAUCCAGUUUGGAAGGUACAGAUAUAUAGAAUAACAUACAGACGUACAGAAUAAUGGCUGUGUGCCUGCAUUUUUAUCUUUGAAAUAAAUAAAAUAAUUAUGGU
rnacentral:lncRNA from 7 species